GGUCAAGAAGAGAAGCGCAAACGGUGGAUGCCUUGGCAGUAAGAGGCGAAGAAGGACGUGGAAUCCUGCGAAAAGCUUUGGGGAGCUGGAAACGAGCGUUGAUCCGAAGAUGUCCGAAUGGGGGAACCCGGCUUGACGAGAGUUGAGUCACUUAUGACUGAAUACAUAGGUUAUGAGAGCGAACUUGGGGAACUGAAACAUCUAAGUACCUAAAGGAAAAGAAAUCAAACGAGAUUCUCUUAGUAGCGGCGAGCGAAAGGGGAAGAGCCUGGUGUGAUAUAUGAUGCUAUGAAGUGGAACGACUUGGGAAAGUUGACCGUAGGGGGUGAUAGUCCCGUACACGUAGGUAGCAUUAGGAACUAAGCACACGAGCAAGUAGGCCGGGACACGUGAAAUCCUGGUUGAAGAUGGGUGGACCAUCAUCCAAGGCUAAAUACUACUUACUGACCGAUAGUGAACCAGUACCGUGAGGGAAAGGCGAAAAGCACCCCGGAGAGGGGAGUGAAAUAGACCUGAAACCGUUUGCGUACAAGCAGUGGGAGCCUGACUUAGGUUGGGUGACUGCGUACCUUUUGUAUAAUGGGUCAGCGAGUUACUUUCAGUGGCGAGGUUAACCUGAUAGGGGAGCCGUAGAGAAAUCGAGUCUUAAUAGGGCGAGAGUCGCUGGGAGUAGACCCGAAACCGGGCGAUCUAGUCAUGUGCAGGAUGAAGGUUGGGUAACACCAACUGGAGGUCCGAACCGGGUAAUGUUGAAAAAUUAUCGGAUGACGUGUGACUAGGAGUGAAAGGCUAAUCAAGCUCGGAGAUAUCUGGUUCUCCCCGAAAGCUAUUUAGGUAGCGCCUUGUGGGUUGAUUACUGGGGGUAGAGCACUGUUUCGGCUAGGGGGCUGUCAUGGCUUACCAAACCGAUGCAAACUACGAAUACUGGUUAAUUGGACCACGGGAGACACACGGCGGGUGCUAACGUCCGUCGUGGAGAGGGAAACAACCCAGACCGCCAGCUAAAGUCCCAAAGUUAUGGUUAAGUGGGAAACGAUGUGGGAAGGCAUAGACAGCCAGGAGGUUGGCUUAGAAGCAGCCAUCCUUUAAAGAAAGCGUAAUAGCUCACUGGUCGAGUCGGCCUGCGCGGAAGAUGUAACGGGGCUAAAACCAUACACUGAAGCUGCGGAUGUGCAUUAGAUGCACGUGGUAGGGGAGCGUUCUGUAGGUCUGAGAAGGUGACUUGAGAAGGUUGCUGGAGAUAUCAGAAGUGCGAAUGCUGACAUGAGUAACGAUAAAGAAGGUGAAAAGCCUUCUCGCCGUAAGUCUAAGGUUUCCUGCACGACGUUAAUCGGAGCAGGGUGAGUCGGCCCCUAAGGCGAGGCGGAGACGCGUAGUCGAUGGGAACCAGGUUAAUAUUCCUGGACUUUUUAUAAGUGCGAAGGGGGGACGGAGAAGGCUAGGUGAGCCAGGCGAUGGUUGUCCUGGUACUUGCAUGUAGGCGGGCGAGUCAGGCAAAUCCGACUUGCUGCUAACGCUGAGGUGCGGAGUGGUUCAGACACUUUGGUGUGCUGAGAAGUUAUUGAUGCCAAGCUUCCAGGAAAAGCCUCUAAGCGACAGCUUAUAGAGAACCGUACCGCAAACCGACACAGGUAGACGAGUAGAGAAUACUAAGGCGCUUGAGAGAACUCGGGUGAAGGAACUAGGCAAAAUGGUACCGUAACUUCGGGAGAAGGUACGCCUUUGCUGGUUAGUUGCUUUACGUAAUGAAGCUGGCGAAGGCCGCAGAGACCAGGUGGCUGCGACUGUUUAUUAAAAACACAGCACUCUGCAAAUUCGUAAGAAGACGUAUAGGGUGUGACGCCUGCCCGGUGCCGGAAGGUUAAUUGAUUUGGUUAAGCGCGAGCUGAAGCUGAUGAUCGAAGCCCCGGUAAACGGCGGCCGUAACUAUAACGGUCCUAAGGUAGCGAAAUUCCUUGUCGGGUAAGUUCCGACCUGCACGAAUGGCGUAACGAUGGCCACACUGUCUCCACCCGAGACUCAGUGAAAUUGAAAUUGCGGUGAAGAUGCCGUAUACCCGCGGCUAGACGGAAAGACCCCGUGAACCUUUACUACAGCUUUGCACUGGACUUUGACAAUGACUGUGUAGGAUAGGUGGGAGGCUAAGAAGUAUGAACGCUAGUUUGUAUGGAGCCGACCUUGAAAUACCACCCUGUGAUUGUUGAGGUUCUAACUUGGUCCCAUGAACUGGGAUGAGGACAGUGUAUGGUGGGUAGUUUGACUGGGGCGGUCUCCUCCCAAAGAGUAACGGAGGAGCACAAAGGUACCCUCGGUACGGUCGGACAUCGUACCAAGAGUGUAAAGGCAAAAGGGUGCUUGACUGCGAGAGCGACGGCUCGAGCAGGUACGAAAGUAGGUCUUAGUGAUCCGGUGGUUCUGUAUGGAAGGGCCAUCGCUCAACGGAUAAAAGGUACUCCGGGGAUAACAGGCUGAUACCGCCCAAGAGUUCAUAUCGACGGCGGUGUUUGGCACCUCGAUGUCGGCUCAUCACAUCCUGGGGCUGCAGCAGGUCCCAAGGGUAUGGCUGUUCGCCAUUUAAAGUGGUACGCGAGCUGGGUUUAGAACGUCGUGAGACAGUUCGGUCCCUAUCUGCCGUGGGCGUAGGAAAAUUGAGAGGAGCUGCUCCUAGUACGAGAGGACCGGAGUGGACAAACCUCUGGUGUACCGGUUGUGACGCCAGUUGCAUUGCCGGGUAGCUAAGUUUGGACGGGAUAACCGCUGAAAGCAUCUAAGCGGGAAGCCUCCCUCGAGAUGAGUUUUCCCAUGAAGCCCGUUGAAGACGACGACGUUGAUAGGCGAGGUGUGGAAGCGUAGUAAUACGUGAAGCUAACUCGUACUAAUUGGCUGAUUGUCUUGACCAU
rfam:Legionella oakridgensis ATCC 33761 = DSM 21215, complete genome.